rnacentral:rRNA from 1 species
CCUACGGGUGACAGCAGUGAGGAAUAUUGGUCAAUGGACGCAAGUCUGAACCAGCCAUGCCGCGUGCAUGAAGACGGCUCUAUGAGUGGUAAACUGCGUUUGUACGAGGGUAAACGCAGAUACGCGUAUCUGUCUGAGAGUAUCGUACGAAUAAGGAUCGGCUAACUCCGUGCCAGCAGCCGCGGUAAUACGGAGGAUUCAAGCGUUAUCCGGAUUUAUUGGGUUUAAAGGGUGCGUAGGCGGUCGUAUAAGUUAGAGGUGAAAUCCCGAGGCUCAACUUCGGAAUUGCCUCUGAUACUGUUCGGCUAGAGAGUAGUGGCGGUAGGCGGAAUGUAUGGUGUAGCGGGGAAAUGCUUAGAGAUCAUACAGAACACCGAUUGCGAAGGCAGCUUACCAAGCUACUUCUGACGUUGAGGCACGAAAGCGUGGGGAGCAAACAGGAUUAGAUACCCUUGUAGUC